GCAUUGGUGGUUCAACGGUAGAAUUCUUACCUCCCAUGCAGGAGACCCAAGUUCAAUUCCUGGCCAGUGCA